GAUGAACGCUGGCGGCGUGCCUAAUACAUGCAAGUCGAGCGAACAGACGAGGAGCUUGCUCCUCUGACGUUAGCGGCGGACGGGUGAGUAACACGUGGAUAACCUACCUAUAAUACUUGGAUAACUUCGGGAAACCGGAGCUAAUACCGGAUAAUAUAUUGAACCGCAUGGUUCAAUAGUGAAAGACGGUUUUGCUGUCACUUAUAGAUGGAUCCGCGUCGCAUUAGCUAGUUGGUAAGGUAACGGCUUACCAAGGCAACGAUGCGUAGCCGACCUGAGAGGGUGAUCGGCCACAAUGGAACUGAGAAAAGGUCCAGAACCCUAAGGGAGGCAGCAGGAGGGAAUCUUCCGAAAAGGGCGAAAGCCUGAAGGAGCAAAGACGCGUGAGUGAUGAAGGUCUUCGGAGCGUAAAACUCUGUUAUUAGGGAAGAACAAAUGUGUAAGUAACUAUGCACGUCUUGAAGGUACCUAAUCAGAAAGCCACGGCUAACUACGUG
rnacentral:rRNA from 1 species